CUCUAUUUAACUCUGUGUGGAGAGGAAACAGAGCUGUGGACACUUGAACAAAAUGGACUACAGGACAGCACUUGUGUUUGUCACAUACUGGACAGGUGUCUUUGCUCAGACUCUGACUGAAUCUGGUCCAGCUGUGAAAAGACCAGGAGAGUCCCACAGACUGACCUGUACAACAUCUGGGUUCACAUUUAGCAGCUAUUACAUGAGCUGGAUCAGACAGGCUCCUGGGAAGGGGCUGCAGUGGCUGGCUUACAUUAGCGGUGAUGGGGGGCACUACUUAUUACUCUGAGUCAGUGAAAGGCAGGUUCACCAUCUCCAGAGACAACAGCAGAAACCAGCUGUAUCUGCAGAUGAACAACCUCCAGACUGAGGACACGGCUGUGUACUACUGUGCCCGAGAAGCACAGUGAGAGAGUCAC